rnacentral:rRNA from 1 species
GUGGCAGCCGCCGCGGUAAAACCAGCACCUCAAGUGGUCAGGAUGAUUAUUGGGCCUAAAGCAUCCGUAGCCGGCUAUGUUAGUUUUCGGUUAAAUCCAUGUGCUCAACACAUGGGCUGUCGGAAAUACUGCAUAGCUAGGGAGUGGGAGAGGUAGACGGUACUCGGUAGGAAGGGGUAAAAUCCUUUGAUCUAUCGAUGACCACCAGUGGCGAAGGCGGUCUACCAGAACACGUCCGACGGUGAGGGAUGAAAGCUGGGGGAGCAAACCGGAUUAGAUACCCGGGUAGUCCCAGCUGUAAACUAUGCAAACUCAGUGAUGCAUUGGCUUGUGGCCAGUGCAGUGCCGCAGAGAAGUCGUUAAGUUUGCCGCCUGGGAAGUACGUACGCAAGUAUGAAACUUAAAGGAAUUGGCGGGGGAGCACCACAAGGGGUGAAGCCUGCGGUUCAAUUGGAGUCAACGCCAGAAAUCUUACCCGGAGAGACAGCAGAAUGAAGGUCAAGCUGAAGACUUUACCAGACAAGCUGAGAAGUGGUGCAUGGCCGUCGCCAGCUCGUGCCGUGAGAUGUCCUGUUAAGUCAGGUAACGAGCGAGAUCCCUGCCUCUAGUUGCCACCAUCACUCUCAGGAGUAGUGGGGCGAAUUAGCGGGACUGCCGCAGUUAAUGCGGAGGAAGGAGGGGGCCACGGCAGGUCAGUAUGCCCUGAAACUCUGGGGCCACACGCGGGCUGCAAUGGUAGUUACAGUGAGUUCCGAAUCCGAGAGGAGGAGGCAAUCUUCAAACGCUACCACAGUUAUGAUUGAGGGCUGCAACUCGCCCUCAUGAAUAUGGAAUCCCUAGUAACUGCGUGUCAUUACCGCGCGGUGAAUACGUCCCUGCUCCUUGCACACACCGCCCGUC